rnacentral:rRNA from 1 species
UACGAAGGGGGCUAGCGUUGCUCGGAAUCACUGGGCGUAAAGGGUGCGUAGGCGGGUCUUUAAGUCAGGGGUGAAAUCCUGGAGCUCAACUCCAGAACUGCCUUUGAUACUGAGGAUCUUGAGUUCGGGAGAGGUGAGUGGAACUGCGAGUGUAGAGGUGAAAUUCGUAGAUAUUAGGAAGAACACCGGUGGCGAAGGCGGCCAUCUGGCUCGGUACUGACGCUCAGGCGCGAAAGCGUGGGGAGCAAACAGG